AUUGAACGCUGGCGGCAGGCCUAACACAUGCAAGUCGAGCGAGCGGCGGGCGGGUGAGUAAUGUAUGGGGACUGCCCGAUAGAGGGGGAUAUCUCCUGGAAACGGUAGCUCAUACCGCAUAUUACCGGAUAACCCAUAUGGGAUUAGCUAGUAGGUGAGGUAAUGGCUCACCUAGGCGACGAUCCCUAGCUGGUCUGAGAGGAUGAUCAGCCACACUGGGACUGAGACACGGCCCAGACUCCGACGGAGGCAGCAGUGGGGAAUAUUGCACAAUGGGCGCAAGCCUGAUGCAGCCAUGCCGCGUGUAUGAAGAAGGCCCUAGGGUUGUAAAGUACUUUCAGUCGGGAGGCGUUACCGACAGAAGAAGCACCGGCUAACUCCGUGCCAGCAGCCGCGGUAAUAC
rnacentral:rRNA from 1 species